rnacentral:ncRNA from 2 species
AACGGCGGGAGUAACUAU